UACAGAGGGGGCAAGCGUUGUUCGGAAUUACUGGGCGUAAAGGGCGCGUAGGCGGCCCGCUAAGUCGAACGUGAAAUCCCCGAGCUCAACUCGGGAACUGCGUCCGAUACUGGCGGGCUUGAAUCCGGGAGAGGGAUGCGGAAUUCCAGGUGUAGCGGUGAAAUGCGUAGAUAUCUGGAGGAACACCGGUGGCGAAGGCGGCAUCCUGGACCGGCAUUGACGCUGAGGCGCGAAAGCUAGGGGAGCAGACGGG
rnacentral:rRNA from 1 species